rnacentral:lncRNA from 1 species
AAACCGACUCUGACACAAACCAACAGAACCAAAGUUGACUAGAUCAAAUCUGGAGUUCGAUAUAAAGGCAUCCUUGAGUAGAUAUGGUAUAGGACCAUGUCAACCGAAUAGAUACUUUGAUUUUUGAAUUCGGGAUAGGGAUUUGAUCUCCCAUACAGAUGCCAUACAGGGAUCUAACUUUGAGAAGUAGCUUAGAGCCAUUAAAUAUGAAAUGAAGUCCAUGAAGAUCGAUGAUAUAUGGACAUUCAUUGAUUCACCUGUAGGAGUAAGACCCAUAGGGUGUGAGUGGAUUUU